rnacentral:rRNA from 1 species
GAGUUUGAUCGUGGCUCAGAACGAACGCUGGCGGCAUGCCUAACACAUGCAAGUCGAACGGGAUCCGGACUUCGGUUCGGUGAGAGUGGCGGACGGGUGAGUAACGCGUGGGAACCUGCCCAGUGGUGGGGGAUAACUGCGGGAAACUGCAGCUAAUACCGCAUGAGCCCGAGAGGGGAAAGAUUUAUCGCCAUUGGAGGGGCCCGCGUUCGAUUAGGUAGUUGGUGGGGUAAAGGCCUACCAAGCCGACGAUCGAUAGCUGGUCUGAGAGGAUGAUCAGCCACACUGGGACUGAGAUACGGCCCAGACUCCUACGGGAGGCAGCAGUGGGGAAUAUUGGACAAUGGGGGCAACCCUGAUCCAGCAAUGCCGCGUGAGUGAUGAAGGCCUUCGGUUGUAAAGCUCUUUGGUCGGGACGAUGAUGACGGUACCGCAGAAUAAGCCCCGGCUAACUUCGUGCCAGCAGCCGCAGUAAC